rnacentral:ribozyme from 12 species
CAUUUAUAAAGAAGGAAGGAAGAAAGGAAAAAACGAAUGAAAAAGAAAAGGAAAAAUGUUGUUCAGUCGAAUCUUGUUUUCCAAUUCAUUGCUUCUUU